UGAGGGUCUAAAGGUGUCACAGUCACGCUGAACGUCAAAGCCGCAGACGCCGCCUAGUGGAGCGGAAGUGAAUCAGUGUCAGUAGUUUUAACGCAUGAAAACAAACUAGAAGUGUGUCGUUGGAGACGGGAUGCGUUUUUAGUUUUAUUUAUUUUAAAUCACAUCUGUGAUCUUCUUUAAAUGGUCUCGAGCAGCAGAUAAACAUGGCAUCUAACGGAUGAUCAGCUUCCCAACUGAAGGGAUCUACCUCUGCCUUUUCCUGUGACAUUGCCUUCCUUACUUAUUCAGUAGCAGGUUUGACUGAAUCUUUCUCUGUGUCUCUGAUGAGGAGGAUGUGAAGCUCAGGACUGGUCAUCAUAUCAACACAUCAAUCUACAGACAAACAUCACAUUUAAUAAAGAUUUAAUGAAGAAA